rnacentral:rRNA from 1 species
UACGAAGGGUGCAAGCGUUAAUCGGAAUUACUGGGCGUAAAGCGUGCGCAGGCGGUUUUGUAAGUCUGUCGUGAAAGCCCCGGGCUUAACCUGGGAAUUGCGAUGGAGACUGCAAGGCUUGAAUCUGGCAGAGGGGGGUAGAAUUCCACGUGUAGCAGUGAAAUGCGUAGAGAUGUGGAGGAACACCGAUGGCGAAGGCAGCCCCCUGGGUCAAGAUUGACGCUCAUGCACGAAAGCGUGGGGAGCAAACAGG